UGGAAGGUUGUGCGGGCGACUCCUUUGCUCAUCUGGUCAGGGUCGGAAGACAGCAGCCAAAGUGAAGGCUCGGUCGGGUCGUAUCAACCUUCCACGA
rnacentral:SRP_RNA from 1 species